ACCUCAACCUAGCACUCUCAUAGCUAAAACAAAGCACUGGCCUUGUAAGACAGAGAUGGAGAACAAACACCCCCCCAAGAGUA
rnacentral:tRNA from 1 species